AUCGAUGAAGAACGCAGCGAAAUGCGAUAAGUAAUGUGAAUUGCAGAAUUCAGUGAAUCAUCGAAUCUUUGAACGCACAUUGCGCCCUCUGGUAUUCCGGAGGGCAUGCCUGUUCGAGCGUCAUUACAACCCUCAAGCUCUGCUUGGCCUUGGGCGUCACCGGUAACGGUGGGCCCCAAACCCAGUGGCGGUGCCGUCUGGCUCUAAGCGUAGUAAUUCUUCUCGCUAUAGAUGCCCGGUGGAUGCUUGCCAGUAACCCCCAAUUUUUUCAGGUUGACCUCGGAUCAGGUAGGGAUACCCGCUGAACUUAAGCAUAUCAAUAAGCGGAGGAAAAGAAACCAACAGGGAUUACCUCAGUAACGGCGAGUGAAGCGGUAACAGCUCAAAUUUGAAAUCUGGGUCUUUCAGGCUCCGAGUUGUAAUUUGUAGAAGAUGCUUCGGGUGCGGCUCCGGUCUAAGUUCCUUGGAACAGGACGUCAUAGAGGGUGAGAAUCCCGUAUGUGAUCGGUUGCCUGCGCCCGUGUGAAGCUCUUUCGACGAGUCGAGUUGUUUGGGAAUGCAGCUCAAAAUGGGUGGUAAAUUUCAUCUAAAGCUAAAUAUUGGCCAGAGACCGAUAGCGCACAAGUAGAGUGAUCGAAAGAUGAAAAGCACUUUGGAAAGAGAGUUAAACAGUACGUGAAAUUGUUGAAAGGGAAGCGCUUGCAACCAGACUUGCGCGUUGCCGAUCAUCCGGGGUUCUCCCCGGUGCACUCGGCUUCGCUCAGGCCAGCAUCGGUUUGGGUGGUUGGAUAAAGGCCUUGGGAAUGUAGCUUCUUUCGGGGAGUGUUAUAGCCCUCGGUGCAAUGCAGCCUAUCCGGACCGAGGACCGCGCUUCGGCUAGGAUGCUGGCGUAAUGGUUGUAAGCGACCCGUCUUGAAACACGG
rnacentral:rRNA from 1 species